AAUCAGUGUGUGUGUUAGUGGAAGCGUCUGGAAAGGCGCGCGAUACAGGGUGACAGCCCCGUACACAAAAAUGCACAUGCUGUGAGCUCGAUGAGUAGGGCGGGACACGUGGUAUCCUGUCUGAAUAUGGGGGGACCAUCCUCCAAGGCUAAAUACUCCUGACUGACCGAUAGUGAACCAGUACCGUGAGGGAAAGGCGAAAAGAACCCCGGCGAGGGGAGUGAAAAAGAACCUGAAACCGUGUACGUACAAGCAGUGGGAGCCUCUUUAUGGGGUGACUGCGUACCUUUUGUAUAAUGGGUCAGCGACUUAUAUUCUGUAGCAAGGUUAACCGAAUAGGGGAGCCGGAGGGAAACCGAGUCUUAACUGGGCGUUAAGUUGCAGGGUAUAGACCCGAAACCCGGUGAUCUAGCCAUGGGCAGGUUGAAGGUUGGGUAACACUAACUGGAGGACCGAACCGACUAAUGUUGAAAAAUUAGCGGAUGACUUGUGGCUGGGGGUGAAAGGCCAAUCAAACCGGGAGAUAGCUGGUUCUCCCCGAAAGCUAUUUAGGUAGCGCCUCGUGAAUUCAUCUCCGGGGGUAGAGCACUGUUUCGGCAAGGGGGUCAUCCCGACUUACCAACCCGAUGCAAACUGCGAAUACCGGAGAAUGUUAUCACGGGAGACACACGGCGGGUGCUAACGUCCGUCGUGAAGAGGGAAACAACCCAGACCGCCAGCUAAGGUCCCAAAGUCAUGGUUAAGUGGGAAACGAUGUGGGAAGGCCCAGACAGCCAGGAUGUUGGCUUAGAAGCAGCCAUCAUUUAAAGAAAGCGUAAUAGCUCACUGGUCGAGUCGGCCUGCGCGGAAGAUGUAACGGGGCUAAACCAUGCACCGAAGCUGCGGCAGCGACGCUGAUGCGUUGUUGGGUAGGGGAGCGUUCUGUAAGCCUGUGAAGGUGUGCUGUGAGGCAUGCUGGAGGUAUCAGAAGUGCGAAUGCUGACAUAAGUAA
rnacentral:rRNA from 1 species